GACUUAUCAACCGCUUCAUGGUGAACAUGGACGUGGCUUUGGAUGUGGGGGUCUUUGCAGGCUUUUUGAAUUCUCAAAGGUCGGCUCCCCUGAAACGCAUUAGUGGCAUCUGAGCUGCUACUAUAGGUGUGAUAAAUUAUCUAUGCCUUUGGUAUGCUGCAUGAACAGAUUGCGCUGCUUACAACGACGAAAAUAACUUGACAA
rnacentral:misc_RNA from 1 species